rnacentral:rRNA from 1 species
CCUACGGGUGGCAGCAGUCGGGAAUAUUGCGCAAUGGAGGAGACUCUGACGCAGUGACGCCGCGUAUAGGAAGACGGUUUUCGGAUUGUAAACUAUUGUCGUUAGGGGAGAUAAAAGACUGUACCUAGGGAGGAAGCCCCGGCUAACUAUGUGCCAGCAGCCGCGGUAAUACCUAGGAGGCGAGCGUUAUCCGGAAUUCUUGGUUGUAAAGGGUGCGUAGACGGAAGAACAAGUCGGUUGUGAAAUCCCUCGGCUCAACUGAGGAAUUGCAACCAAAACGAUUCUCCUUGAGUGUCGGAGAGGAAAGUGGAAUUCCUAGUGUAGCGGUGAAAUGCGUAGAUAUCAGGAGGAACACCAGUGGCGAAGGCGACUUUCUGGACGAUAACUGACGUUGAGGCACGAAAGUGUGGGGAGCAAACAGGAUUAGAUACCCCGGUAGUC